GUAGGUGGCAAGCGUUGUCCGGAAUUAUUGGGCGUAAAGCGCGCGCAGGCGGUCCUUUAAGUCUGAUGUGAAAGCCCACGGCUCAACCGUGGAGGGUCAUUGGAAACUGGGGGACUUGAGUACAGAAGAGGAAAGCGGAAUUCCAAGUGUAGCGGUGAAAUGCGUAGAGAUUUGGAGGAACACCAGUGGCGAAGGCGGCUUUCUGGUCUGUAACUGACGCUGAGGCGCGAAAGCGUGGGGAGCAAACAGGGAUUAGAUACCCUGGUAGUCCACGCCGUAAACGAUGAGUGCUAAGUGUUAGGGGGUUUCCCGCCCCUUAGUGCCGCAGCUAACGCAUUAAGCACUCCGCCUGGGGAGUACGGCCCGCAAGGCUG
rnacentral:rRNA from 1 species